rnacentral:rRNA from 1 species
GGCCGCGUCGACGGACGAACGCUGGCGGCGUGCCUAAUACAUGCAAGUAGAACACUGAAGGAGGAGCUUGCUCUUCUGGAUGAGUUGCGAACGGGUGAGUAACGCGUAGGUAACCUGCCUGGUAGCGGGGGAUAACUAUUGGAAACGAUAGCUAAUACCGCAUAACAUUGACUAUUGCAUGAUAGUCAAUUGAAAGGUGCAAAUGCACCACUAUCAGAUGGACCUGCGUUGUAUUAGCUAGUUGGUGGGGUAACGGCUCACCAAGGCGACGAUACAUAGCCGACCUGAGAGGGUGAUCGGCCACACUGGGACUGAGACACGGCCCAGACUCCUACGGGAGGCAGCAGUAGGGAAUCUUCGGCAAUGGACGGAAGUCUGACCGAGCAACGCCGCGUGAGUGAAGAAGGUUUUCGGAUCGUAAAGCUCUGUUGUAAGAGAAGAACGAGUGUGAGAGUGGAAAGUUCACACUGUGACGGUAUCUUACCGAGAAAGGGACGGCUAACUACGUGCCAGCAGCCCGG